rnacentral:rRNA from 1 species
CUACGGGGUGCUCCAGUGAGGAAUAUUGCACAAUGGGGGGAACCCUGAUGCAGCAACGCCGCGUGGAGGAUGACGCAUUUCGGUGCGUAAACUCCUUUUAUAUGUCAAGAAAAUGACGGUAGCAUAUGAAUAAGCACCGGCUAACUCCGUGCCAGCAGCCGCGGUAAUACGGAGGGUGCAAGCGUUAUUCGGAAUCACUGGGCGUAAAGGACGCGUAGGCGGGUUAUCAAGUCAGGUGUGAAAUCCUACAGCUUAACUGUAGAACUGCACUUGAAACUGGUAGCCUAGAGUAUGGGAGGGGCAGAUGGAAUUAGUGGUGUAGGGGUAAAAUCCGUAGAUAUCACUAGGAAUACCGAAAGCGAAGGCGAUCUGCUGGAACAUUACUGACGCUAAGGCGUGAAAGCGUGGGGAGCAAACAGGAUUAGAUACCCUUGUAGUC